rnacentral:rRNA from 1 species
UAGGGAAUCUUCCACAAUGGACGCAAGUCUGAUGGAGCAACGCCGCGUGAGUGAAGAAGGUCUUCGGAUCGUAAACUCUGUUGUUAGAGAAGAACACGAGUGAGAGUAACUGUUCUUGUAUUGACGGUAUCUAACCAGAAAGCCACGGCUAACUACGUGCUAG